AUCGUUUAUUUUCAAAUAUUCACUAAUAAACAUUAAAUCUGUUCUUAUCAGUUUAAUAUCUGAUAUGUCCUUUAUUUGAGGACUAUAUAUUAAAUGGAUUUUUGAAACAGGGGGUUGGAAUAGGAGCUUGCUCUAUCCACCCCAUGCAUUGGCCUGGUAUUGCAGUGCCUCCAGGAGCGGUGCCUCUCCU
rnacentral:snRNA from 1 species